CACCUGGUUGUCUAGGUCUCAGUAAGGAACUCCCCCUCACCUGGUUGUCCAGGUCUCAGUAAGGAACUCCCCCUCACCUGGUUGUCUAGGUCUCAGUAAGGAACUCCCCCUCACCUGGUUGUCUAGGUCUCAGUAAGGAACUCCCCCUCACCUGGUUGUCCAGGUCUCAGUAAGGAACUCCCCCCUCACCUGGUUGUCUAGGUCUCAGUAAGGAACUCCCCCAUCACCUGGUUGUCUAGGUCUCAGUAAGGAACUCCCCCCUCACCUGGUUGUCUAGGUCUCAGUAAGGAACUCCCCCCUCACCUGGUUGUCUAGGUCUUUAAUUGAAAGGGGAAAACCCAGCGAUCACUAGGGCCCUGCUUGGAAUCAGUUUGACCCCCUGCCCUAUUUAGUGCCCUACCAGAGCCGCUACGGUCAAGAGUAGUGCACUACAUAGAGAACAAGGUGCUAUUUGUGACUUAAACCCUACUGACUUCAUAUCGACUCUGUCCAGAAGCUACGGGCUCAUCUCGAAGGACACCGUACCCCCGACGUAGCACCCGACUCCGGGCCGUUGCGUGGUGAAGAGGACGUGAUGCAGGAUGCCUUUCACUGCGGCCCGGGAUCCGGGAACCACCUUCUAGUGUGACGUUUUAAAGCUAAUGUGAUCUCUGCUAACGGGGAACGUUGCCUUUAAGCCCACUGCGGCCCGGGAUCCGGGAACCACCUUCUAGUGUGACGUUUUAAAGCUAAUGUGAUCUCUGCUAACGGGGAACGUUGCCUUUAAGCCCACUGCGGCCCGGGAACCGGGAACCACCUUCUAGUGUGACGUUUUAAAGCUAAUGUGAUCUCUGCUAACGGGGAACGUUGCCUUUAAGCCCACUGCGGCCCGGGAUCCGGGAACCACCUUCUAGUGUGACGUUUUAAAGCUAAUGUGAUCUCUGCUAACGGGGAACGUUGCCUUUAAGCCUUUUGUCUUUUAAACAAUGUUGUUGUUGUUGGGCUUUUCUGUCUGUUCUUUGGUUUCUUAGUUUUCACCCAGAGCAUUAAUGAAUUAAACAUCUGAAUGAAAUCAGA